CUCUUCUUGUUUAAAAUAUGAAGUAUAACCUGCCCACUGAUUAAAAUUUUGAAGGGCCGCGGUAUUUUGACCGUGCAAAGGUAGCAUAAUCAUUAGUUCUUUAAUUGUGGACUGGAAUGAAUGGUUGGACGAAGAAUAGACUGUUUCUUAUUAUUUUAUUAUUGAAUUUAAUUUUUAAGUUAAAAAGCUUAAAUGUAUUUAUGGGACGAGAAGACCCUAUAGAGUUUAUAUAUAUUUAUUAAUUGAUUUUGUUUGAUUAUUUAUUUAUUAUUUAAUAUAUUUUGUUGGGGUGAUUGGAAGAAUUAAUUAACUCUUUUUUUUAUUAUACAUUUAUUUAUGAAUAGUUGAUCCAUUUUUGUUGAUUAUAAGAUUAAAUUACCUUAGGGAUAACAGCGUAAUCUUUUUUGAGAGUUCUUAUCGAUAAAUUGGUUUGCGACCUCGAUGUUGGAUUAAGGUUUAAUUUGGGUGUAGAAUUUCAAUUUGUUUAGGUCUGUUCGACCUUUAAAAUCUUACA
rnacentral:rRNA from 1 species